AUGGGGAGUGGCAAGGUUCUGGGAGGGCAUAUGGCACCCAGAAUAUGGCUGUAGGCAUUUGUAAACGGGGUUGUUGACACUGAGCUUUCAGGAAGAGAAGAUUAGGACACAGAGAUACCAGAGAGGUCAUUCACAGAGGAAAGACCACGUGAAGACGCAGUGGCCAUAUGCAAGCUGAGGAGAGAGGUCUCAGAAGAAACCAAUACUGCCAACGCCUUGGUCUCGGACUUCCAGCCUCCAGAACUUUUGCCUCCCAUAUUUUUAUGAUGCCUUUUGCAAGCAUUCUUAAUGGUCCUGGAUCAGAAGAUGCCUGACAAGAGGCCACUAUCAGCAGCAACAGCACGGUGGGGACAAACCUGAGACCUUGAUGGACCAUGGACACCAGCAGGAGAGACAGAGGAACUUGAAGUCUAAAUGGGCAGACAAGACCAACAGACACAAAGCACAGAGUGGCACAAGAGCCAUGUCUGAUGCAACAGUGACUCAGGAGGAUCACUCUGACUCAGAAUGGCCAAGCAAAGGUAUUGGGAGGAAGUGGGAUAGAACUGAGCUUUGAAGACUGUGCUAAAAUAUGUACAGACUCCCCAGGUUAUCUCAAGUUCUCUCCAGGAAUUAGCUUCACCUCUUUGUGCUUUGGCUCCACAUCAGUUAAAUAGUGAUAACAUUUGAUCGUUAAGAACCAUGUAGAAAUGAAACAAUUUUUCAAGUUUUCUAAUUAAGUGUAUUCAUUGCCACUCAAAGAUAAAUACCAUAUAAAUAUAAUAAUAAUCAUAUUGAGAAAUAAAAUAGUAAUGAUGCAGAUACUCAUGUACUGUUUCAUGUUUGUGGUCUUUGAGGGGAGUUUUUACUCAAAUAUCCCUAGAUGAAUAAAUACAUAUGGUCUAUAAA